rnacentral:antisense_RNA from 1 species
CACCGCUUUGCUCCCCCAGGAACACCAGCUUGAAUUUCCUCAGCGGAUUCCCGAAGUCUCCGCCCGUGGACAUUGUGGAACUAGAGGAGCGGCCGCCGCCUCAGCCCACUCCAGCCAGCUGACGAAAAAGGCGAGCGGAAGGGCGGGCACCGAGCUCUCUCGGCCCCUGCAAGGCCCGGUGGAGGAGCCCGGCUGGAGGGCAGCAGGACUCUCCACAGACUGGCAGCCGCCGCCGCCUCCCGGCAGAGUAGCCUAGCACCGAGCGAGGCCCGCGGCUGGGAAGGGAAGGAGGGCGGUGUCGGUAGGAGCCAGGGGUGUCCUCUGGCUUCCCAAAGCUAGGGCCGUUCCUUCCUUCCGCACUCGGCUCCCAGACCUGGGGGAGAGAAGCUGAGGGUGGCGGAGCCGGAACCGCAGACGUCUGGGACCUCUCACGCGCAGCGCCUGAGCUUCCACAGCUGCCGCCGCCGCCGCAGCCCAACCUGCU